rnacentral:rRNA from 1 species
ACGAACGCUGGCGGCGUGCUUAACACAUGCAAGUCGAACGGAAAGGCCCUGCUUUUGUGGGGUGCUCGAGUGGCGAACGGGUGAGUAACACGUGAGUAACCUGCCCUUGACUUUGGGAUAACUUCAGGAAACUGGGGCUAAUACCGGAUAGGAGCUCCUGCUGCAUGGUGGGGGUUGGAAAGUUUCGGCGGUUGGGGAUGGACUCGCGGCUUAUAAGCUUGUUGGUGGGGUAGUGGCUUACCAAGGCUUUGACGGGUAGCCGGCCUGAGAGGGUGACCGGCCACAUUGGGACUGAGAUACGGCCCGGACUCCUACGGGAGGCAGCAGUGGGGAAUAUUGCACAAUGGGCGGAAGCCUGAUGCAGCAACGCCGCGUGCGGGAUGACGGCCUUCGGGUUGUAAACCGCUUUCGCCUGUGACGAAGCGUGAGUGACGGUAAUGGGUAAAGAAGCACCGGCUAACUACGUG